rnacentral:rRNA from 1 species
AUUGAACGCUGGCGGCAGGCCUAACACAUGCAAGUCGAGCGGCAGCACAGAACUUGCUCCCGGAUUCAGCGGCGGACGGGCGGGUAAUGCCUAGGUACCUGCCUGGCUGCGUGUGCUAACGUCCUGACAUGGGCGCUCAUACGCUAUUAGCGCAGACGGCGAACGUGGGGGAGCAUCGGAUCUUCCGCUCUCACAUGAGCGUAUGACGCGAGGUCGGAUUAGCUAGUUGGUGGGGUAAAGGCCCACCAAGGCGACGAUCCGUAGCUGGUCUGAGAGGAUGAUCAGCCACACUGGAACUGAGACACGGUCCAGACUCCUACGGGAGGCAGCAGUGGGGAAUAUUGGACAAUGGGCGAAAGCCUGAUCCAGCCAUGCCGCGUGUGUGAAGAAGGCCUUCGGAUUGUAAAGCACUUUUGGUUGGAAAGAAAAGCAGUAAGUUAAUACCUCGCUGUUUUGACGUUACCAACAGAAUAAGCACCGGCUAACUUCGUG